rnacentral:lncRNA from 1 species
GAAAUAUCUUGAGGCACAUACAUCAAAACAAACCCCCUUCUCCAAAAUUGUCACCUCACACACAGUGGAUCUGGGACAAUAUCUUUAACAUUACUUUAUCCUCCAUCCUAGCUAUGGUUACAGAAGCAAACACAGACCUGAGUUAGACCAAUUGAUUUGUGUUAUGGAACAAUAGCUUGGAACACUGAUAUUCCACUGUUCUGUACACAGAGAAUCAGGAGAGACCUGUCUGUAUGCAGCAGCUGGAAACAUGCCAUUCCAGAGAACACCUGCCAUCAAGUUGGCCAGGAUUGUCCAGUAGACACUGCAGCCUCAAUGAUUACCGUGGUUACCUGUGAACAUAAAUCAAAAUGUGCAAGCACUGUGGAUCUGUGUGCAGGCUCAAGAGAUCAAAUGGACUUCUGCUCCCACUAGGGUCUAUAGCUAAAGAUCCAAGAAGGCAGGCUGCAUAGGCAAAGACAGUGAUGUGAACAUAGAUUAUUAAAGAAUAAAAUGCUUUCAC